rnacentral:rRNA from 1 species
GUGCCAGCAGCCGCGGUAAUACCCGCAGCACAAGUGGUGGUCAUUAUUAUUGGGCCUAAAGCGUCCGUAGCUGGCCUGCUAGAUGCCUGGGUAAAUCGAAGCGCUCAACGUUUCGAAUUCCGGGUAGACCGGCAGGCUCGAGACCGGGAGAGGUGUGGGCUACUCGAGGGGUAGGGGUAAAAUCCUGUAAUCCUUCGGGGAGGACCAGUGGCGAAGGCGCCACACUUGAACGGCUCUGACAGUGAGGGACGAAGCCCUGGGGCGCAAACCGGAUUAGAAACCCCUGUAGUCC